CCAGGAAAAAUGUGAGACGUGAGACAUCUGUGAGGCACUGUUAGGUAUGCUGCUGCUCGAAAGCAUGCAGCAUUAAUGUGCUUCUUCUUUUAUUUUGUUUUUAUUUUCUCUGCGGUUGCUGACAGUUAUGCAACCAAAGCAGUUUGCAUAAAAAUCCACAACAAUCGCCGCGAAAAAGUGGAUAUCGGGAAUAAUAAUUUUUUUUAAUCGCCGAUCGUCGUCGCGGGAGUGAUUAUGUGUUUAUUUACCAAAAUUGAAAUGUUCCGGCCAGCGAUUUAGCUCUCGGUUUUGUGCGGGUGCGGUCCGGGGGCGGUGAUCCGGGAAAGAUCAAGUGUUAAGCCAAAAGUGAAGUGGGUGAUGAUAAAUAUUUUAAAUAUGAAAUGGCGUAAUUAGAAAAAAUAUUUAAAAUUUGAAAUGGUGUAGGUAGUUGGGAAAAUUACAAGUGCAAUGGGUUGAUCAAAAAAGGAAUCUGGUCAUCGCAAAAGUUCAAUCGGCGGUAUCUUCCAAUUGUGUUCGAAGGUGGGGAGCGCUCUUCCAUCGAUACUGGAUCUGACGCAAAUGCACAACUCAGAGUUCCGCACCAAUCAUCCAGCUGGAUGAACGACCUCCAGUGGGAGAACAUGGCAGUUCCGAUGGGCGGGUCGAUGGUUGGAGCUGGCGGCGGCGCAGGUAGUCCACACGGUGCUGGUACGAUAGGUGGCAAUGGAAAUGGCAUCGGAAAAGUGACUAUGACACGUCAAGUGUCCCGAAGUGACCCGCAAUAAAUGAAUUAGUGAUUUCAGCUGGUUUGCUGCGUAUGGCCACGAAUCAGGUGCAUAUUGGAAAAAGUCGAACGGGAAGAAAUAUGUGUCCACGUUGGUUUUUUUGCCGUUGAGGAGGACCGAAUGGCACUUGAGUGGGACUACAAUCCAUUGGAGAAGGACUCAUCAUUCGCCGUAAAAGUCAAAGAAGCAAAUUACAUCCAACAAGUAAAAAGUAAGUACUAAAUCAUGUUUCUAUUUAAGUCUCUGGUGUUUUACUUGAUGCAAAACCAGGAAUAAAUUUUGUUAUUUGACUUUUGUUAAGAAUUGGUGUCGUAAGAUGACGAUUCUUAUAGAACUCCUUGGAGCAAUUCUGAGUGCUUAAUUAGAAAAUGCACUAGUAAUCUGACUUUUGUUAAGAAUUGGUGUCGUAAGAUGGCGAUUCUUAUAGAACUCCUUGGAGCAAUUCUGAGUGCUUAAUUAGGAAAUGCAUCAGUAAUCUGAUUUUUGUUAAGAAUUGGUGUCGUAAGAUGACGAUUCUUAUAGAACUCCUUGGAGCAAUUCUGAGUGCUUAAUUAGGAAAUGCAUUAGUAAUCUGAUUUUUGUUAAGAAUUGGUGUCGUAAGAUGGCGAUUCUUAGAGAACUCCUUGGAGCAAUUCUGAGUGCUUAAUUAGGAAAUGCAUUAGUAAUAUAACUUUUGUUAAGAAUUGGUGUCGUAAGAUGACGAUACUUAUGGAACUCCUUGGAGCAAUUCUGAGUGCUUAAUUAGGAAAUGCAUUAGUAAUCUGACUUUUGUUAAGAAUUGGUGUCGUAAGAUGACGAUUCUUAUGGAACUCCUUGGACCAAUUCUGAGUGCUUAAUUAGGAAAUGCAUUAGUAAUCUGACUUUUGUUAAGAAUUGGUGUCGUAAGAUGACGAUUCUUAUGGAACUCCUUGGACCAAUUCUGAGUGCUUAAUUAGGAAAUGCAUUAGUAAUCUGAUUUUUGUUAAGAAUUGGUGUCGUAAGAUGGCGAUUCUUAGAGAACUCCUUGGACCAAUUCUGAGUGCUUAAUUAGGAAAUGCAUUAGUAAUAUAACUUUUGUUAAGAAUUGGUGUCGUAAGAUGACGAUACUUAUGGAACUCCUUGGAGCAAUUCUGAGUGCUUAAUUAGGAAAUGCAUUAGUAAUCUGACUUUUGUUAAGAAUUGGUGUCGUAAGAUGACGAUUCUUAUAGAACUCCUUGGAGCAAUUCUGAGUGCUUAAUUAGAAAAAGCACUAGUAAUCUGACUUUUGUUAAGAAUUGGUGUCGUAAGAUGGCGAUUCUUAUAGAACUCCUUGGAGCAAUUCUGAGUGCUUAAUUAGGAAAUGCAUUAGUAAUCUGAUUUUUGUUAAGAAUUGGUGUCGUAAGAUGGCGAUUCUUAGAGAACUCCUUGGAGCAAUUCUGAGUGCUUAAUUAGGAAAUGCAUUAGUAAUCUGACUUUUGUUAAGAAUUGGUGUCGUAAGAUGACGAUUCUUAUAGAACUCCUUGGAGCAAUUCUGAGUGCUUAAUUGGGAAAUGCAUUAGUAAUCUGACUUUGGUUAAGAAUUGGUGUCGUAAGAUGACGAUUCUUAUGGAACUCCUUGGACCAAUUCUGAGUGCUUAAUUAGGAAAUGCAUUAGUAAUCUGAUUUUUGUUAAGAAUUGGUGUCGUAAGAUGACGAUACUUAUGGAACUCCUUGGAGCAAUUCUGAGUGCUUAAUUAGGAAAUGCAUUAGUAAUCUGAUUUUUGUUAAGAAUUGGUGUCGUAAGUGGCGAUUCUUAGAGAACUCCUUGGAGCAAUUCUGAGUGCUUAAUUAGGAAAUGCAUUAGUAAUCUGACUUUUGUUAAGAAUUGGUGUCGUAAGAUGACGAUUCUUAUAGAACUCCUUGGAGCAAUUUUGAGUGCUUAAUUAGGAAAUGCAUCAGUAAUCUGAUUUUUGUUAAGAAUUGGUGUCGUAAGAUGGCGAUUCGUAUAGAACUCCUUGGAGCAAUUCUGAGUGCUUAGUAAGAAAAUGCAUUAGUAAUCUGAUUUUGUCAAGAAUUGGUGUCGUAAGAUAGCGAUUUGUAUAGAACUCCUUGGAGCAAUUCUGAGUGCUUGAUUCGGAAUUGAUUUUCGUUAUGAUUUUCGUUAUGAAUUGGUGUCGUAAGAUGGCUAAAGUUAGGAAAUUAAAAAAAAUAAUACUUUGGGCUUCGUGGCCGUGUGGUUAGCGGCUUCAGUCAGCUAGGCGUUUCGUAAGCCUCGGAGUGUGGGUUCGAUUCCCGCUCCAGUCGGUGAAAACUUUUCGUCAAACAAAAUAUUCUCCACUGGACCACUGGGUGUUUCGUGUAUUGUCCGUUGUCUCAUAUUAGUUAUCGUUCAGUCUGUGCAAGACGUUCAGUCUGGUUGAAGACGGUGUAGAGUCUUUUUAAAUAAAAGUUAGUUUUGCCUCAUUUUUUUUAGGAAUUUUCAAUGUGUUUCUCACUUAGCUGAAAUCAUUGCUACAAAACAAUCGAUUGUCAAUAGGUCUUCCCGUAAAUUUUCUGUUUUAACAUUUUUGUGGAGUCUUGGUUGGGAAGGAUGCGGUUAUUAGGCCGAAUGGCCAUCAAGGCGAAUUGGAAUUCAGCAGUUUUGCAACUGGAAACGGAUCUGUUGUUUAUACAUGUUGUUUUCAACAAUUAUUGCUAAAAACUGUUUUAACAAUGAAACAAGAAAGAAUAGCCUAUGUUUGAAAGAAGGAAACAUUUAUUAUUUGAAAAUCAGUAGUUUCAGCGUCGCUGAUGCCUAGUGGUUAAGGCUAUGGAUCGCCAAUCCGGAGACGGCGGGUUCGAUUCCCGUUCCGGUCGGAAAAUUUUCUCGACUCCCUGGGCAUAGAGUAUCAUUGUACUUGCCUCACAAUAUACAAAUUCAUGCAAUGGCAGGCAAAGAAAGCCCUUCAAUUAAUAACUGUGGAAGUGCUCAAAGAACACUAAGUUGAAGCGAGGCAGGCCAAGUCCCAGUGCGAACGUAGAGCCAUAAAGAAGAAGAAGAAGAAGUUUCAGCGUCGAAACACUUUUAGCAAUGAUACUAUAUGUUUAUACUGAUUUUAAAGAAAUUCUUUUAGCAAUAUUUGAAUUGACACUAAUGUUAUCUGCAAAAAUUGUGCAAAGGUGAUCAAUUGGACCCCGGAUUAUGGUAUAUAUAUAUAAAUAUAUUUAUCGUAAAAUCACCAUUCUUAUGGAACUCCUUGGAGCAAUUGUAAUGUAUCUUUAAAAAAUGUUUUUCAAGUUUUACUUGUACUUAUUCUAAUAAAUUGUAAUGGCACUAUUUAACAUAUUUUCCAAAUUCGACUUUUGCUAAGAAUUGGUAUUGUAGGGUAGGGCGGGCAAGAUGAGCACCCUAAGGAUCCCGUUGAGUUUAUUGAAAGUUAACACAAUUUUUCAAAGUACCUCUCAGUAGUUCUUAUCUACCACCCAUAAAUAUGGCAGGGUUCAAAAUUCACAAUAAGGAUGAUUUAUUUGACUAAACAAAAAAGAUGUUUUAUGGUCAGUUCAAACAUGCUACGAGGCAAGAAGAGCACUUCAUUAAAAUCAAAAUAUUUUAACUAUAAAUUGGCCAUACAGUGAUGGAAAUAGUAAAUCUUGUUUAUUGCUAUGGUAUCACGUUCUGAAAUGAUCAGUUUUUUCGAUUAUUUAAAAAAUGGCGGUUUUAUAAUACUUUAUACAAAAUGACCCAAAAAGCAUUGAAUGAUUAUGAAGUGGCUUAUUUUUAAAAAAAUUAACGCUACCAAAGAGUUGCAGUGAAUACGAAAACCUAUGUUUGGCAUCAUUGAGUGGAUAACAAUAAUUUUAAAAUAUUUUCUAUAUUCUAAUCAGGGGUGUUCAUUUUGCCCCACUAUAGGGAAAUAACUAAAAUUGAAUAAAUUUUAACGUUUUUUUUAAGAAAAUAUUUCCCAAUGCAAAUUUAAAUGCUUUGCAGUAAGAUAGUAAUGUUCGCUGAUAAUAAAAAUUAUGGUAAAAAUUUGAUUCUAACAUAAGAACCUUAUUUUAUUCUUAUAAUAAAAUGCUAAAAAUCCAUGCUAUUGAAUAAUUUGACGAUAUUUUCAAUUCUUUCGUUAUGAGGUACCUUCUAUCAGGUUUACAAACAGGAUGAACUUUAUUCUAACGUAUUAUGAAGUUGUUUAGAGAAAAUUCAUCAUAAAAGUAGUAAAACAGAGGGGUGCUCAUCUUGCCCGGGUUGGCCAUCUUGCCCCGUCCUACUCUAAGAUCACGAUUCCUAUUAAACUCCUGGGAGCAAUUUCGAAUACUCUAAUUUCUUAAUAAAGUUUUUAAAAUUUAGCUUGUGUUCAACAUUUGUAUCAAUCAUAAUUCUUAUGGAACAACUUUGAGCAGUCCUGAUGGCUCUUUUGGAAACUAUGUUGCAAAUAUGCAAAACUGGUAAAGUAUCUUGUACCGACUUUUCGAACCCUCUAAGCAGAAUACCAUCUACGAAUGAGUGUAAUCAGUAUUGCACCUUUUAAUUCCGUCCUAUAUCCUUAAGACGGGCUUGGUGGUCUAGUGGCUACCGCUUCUGAUUCGUAUGCAGAAGGUCAUGGGUUCAAUCCCUGGCCCGUCCCUUUCAUCCUACUUUGUAUUUUUCUAUUCACUUUCUCUCUCUCUCUCUGGAAACGUUCAAAAAUUACGUUUGUGGGGAGCGGGGGGUUAGUCUUAGAAAGUGUGACAGUACGUGUACUAGGUAUAGGAAAAAAGCGUGACAGAGGGGGAGGGGGGGUCUAGAAAUCCCGAAAAACGAUGGACGUAAUAAAUGAAUCUUCCCAACUCAUGUAGGUAUGGUCCAUUGCACGAAUUUAUGCUGGCCUGCUUACUCUCACAGAAAAUUGCAUGUUUGAGCGGUGCCGACACCUCUUAAACGUCAAAUUUCGUGUGAGAGUGAGCAGGCCAGUAUAAAUUCGUGCAGUAAUCCAUAUUCAUAUGUUCAUAGCCAUCGCUAUAACCAGAAACGAAUUGGAAUCAUUCACCUUAUUCACCACACAAUCUAUCACCUUACGAACACUAUAAAUAACCCCCUAUUCAUCGAUCACAUCACCGACCAAACGGUGACUCCCAGAUCUCCCAUCCUUUCCGUCUAACAUAAAUCCCAGUCCGUGCUGGUUGUGGGGAUGCAGAGGUGAUCUAGGUCUUUAGUAGCAACAACAAGCACACUCUAACAUUCCUUUCCCUUCCCAACUGACUAUAAGGACGUGGCCAGCGCCGUUAUUGAUCCAAAAUGUAUGAGCUGCUUAAAUUGCAUUUUGAGAACAAGUGGAGUGUCCCAGCUCUUAUUCAUUUGGAUCUCAGUGCAAUUGGUACCAGCUCAGAUCAAUCACGGAGGAGCAACCAUUGACAUGUAUAGUCAGAUUUGAUCAUUUUGAUCGAAUCGUUAAUUCCGCCCUAUAUUACUUGUCUUUUUACAGAUGCGCGUAUUUCGAUUGCCACUUGUAAUCUUCCUCGGGAUAACUGACGCUGAGGAGGAUUACAAGUGGUAGUCGAAAUACGCGUAUCUGACAAAGGAUAAGCAAUAUAGGGCGGAAUUAAAAGGUACAAUACUGAUUACAAUCAUUGGUAAAGUAUAUUUGUAACUCUUUGGAGCAAUUCUAAUGACUCUAUUGAAAAAUAUUGUUCAAUAUUUCACUUGUGUUAACGAUUAGUAUUGUAGGCUCACAAUUCUAAUGACACUUAUUGUAACAAUUCUAUAUGCUUUACUAUAAAAUGCUUUAAAAAUUUGACUUGAGCAAUUUUUAUGUCUCUAUUUAAAAAGCUUUUAAUUUUUAUAGACUUGUACCAACGCAUAUUGCUUGAAACUGUUGGAAAACUUAUGUUGAUUACCAUGAAUUAUCUGAAAUAUUACAUAACAAUGGUUCUCAUAAUAGAAUGAUGAUUUAAUUUUAGAUUAAUAUUGAUUAUCAUUACGUUAACAUUUAUCUGCUCAAGAUAAGACAUGUUCACUAUCAGGGAGACUCUGAACAUCAACCGGAAAUUUCUUCCCACUCUGACUAAAUUCUUGGACACCGGGGAAUUUCUGAAUUUUAAAAUCUUGCUGGACACUGGUGAUUUUCCCAAUUUGAUUUAUACCUUCAAGUGAUAAUAAGCAAUUCCCUGAAUGAAUUUUAUUUAUUUAACUGGGCUGGAAAUAUCCACUUCAAAUUAACUUGAGCUCGGAAAACGACCGGUACCGCAAAUAUUUAUACAGAAUCUCGGUAAAAAAAUGACGUUUCUAGCCGAAUUUCGGUAAAACAUUUCCAGAACCUCAGAAAAUACACGAUUUUUCUUCUUCUUCUUCUUCUAUAUGGCUCUACGUUCCCACUGGAACUUGGCCUGCCUCUCUUCAACUUAGUGUUCUUUGAGCACUUCCACAGUUAUUAAUUGAAGGGCUUUCUUUGCCUGCCAUUGCAUGAAUUAGUUAUUGUGAGGCAAGCACAAUGAUACACUAUGCCCAGGGAGUCGAGAAAAUUUUCCCGACCGGAACGGGAAUCGAACCCACCGUCUCCGGAUUGGCGAUCCAAAGCCUUAACCACUAGGCUAACUGGAGACCCCAAAUACACGAUUGCUGAAAUCUAAUCGAAAAAAAUUGCUGAGUCCUCGACGGUGCCAAUUUUGGUAAAAAUGAAGAAAAUUUGCCGAGAUUCGGCGACGAAAAAUAAGUGUAUUACGAAAAGUUACACUUAUUUGAUGAAAACUCGUUAGAAACAUUUUAGUAAAAUACAUUAUCAUUAUAAUCAACAUUAUUGUAUUUUGUGAAACUAUGUCGAACGAUGUAUUAUGGUAAAAAAAACAUACAAGAAAGAUCACCCUGUUGCCCACAUAAAUUGGAAAAAGGGUGUUGAUUUAUGUGAAAAAAAAAAAUCCAUGCAUUAUUUAUUGAGCAAAUUCUGGAAAUACUAUAACAGCAGCAACCCAUUUAAUUUUGGAGAAACAAAUAAGUUAGUUUGGAGUUAGUUUGUUUGGAGAAAGGAGGUGUGCAGGUGAGUUUCAUUUUCUUUCCACUGUUCAUACUCUUAUUAAGAUUGUUUCUUUUGCAGACUUUGGUAAAAAUCAUUAUCAUCAAAUUUAAGAGGAGAAUUCCAUACAAACUGUGCUGAAAAUGUUAAAAUGAACGAUUCUCUAGUUCAUUUUUAUUGUUCCAGCAAGUUUGAACCCUGAUAACGUUAUUAUGAACAUUACGUAAGUUAAACUACAUUUGGGAUAUAUAUAAUCCAAAUUUAAAGUGUUAUUUUUUUCAUUUAGAUAUUUUUGUCCGAGCGAAUUCCUGUGGUGGAGACAUGGGUUGACCGUGGAGGCACGUGCCUGGAAUAUCCAUACGAAGGAGUUUAUCGUGAUGUGCUUAAAUAACAUUGUCGCGAAAAAUUAAUAUUGACGCAUUGAAGCAUUCUGCAUUUAGACAGCUGAAGUACGAAAACAGCAAAAUUACACUUACAAAAAUAAUGUUCGCAUUGAAAUAAAAUAAACGUAUGUUACUGUAGGCUUAACGAUUUACCUUAAUUAGUUACUAACCAUAAGUUUUCAUUGUUGGACAGGGGAUAGAAAAAAUGAUCGGAACAGGCAAAGUUUUCACUUUUCAAAAAAUGGUAAAUUAGCUGUAACUUUUCGAAAAGUUCACCUAAAAAAUCUCUAUCAAUAGUCCAAAUCUGGAAAAGAUUGGGCUAUUCCGCAUGAAAUUAGAAAGAUUCCAGUAAAAGGAAUUAUCCGAUAGUUAUUUUUGAGCUGUUAUAUUUCCGGAUUCAAUGAACCGAAGGCAAUGAAAUUUUGAGAAUUUAUGACUUAUAUGAAGAGCUUUGAAAAACUUUUGAUUUAGCUUAAAAUUGUUUAUAAGAAAAAAAAAAAGUUAUAGCGAUUUAAUUUAGUAUACGAUGUUUUAGUAAAUUUAUCUAUUUUUAACAUACAUCACACAACUUGUUUCAAUUUAUUAUCGAAUAUUUUGUUACUUUCUUUCAUAAUAUAUCUAGGGUCUUGUACCAUUUGGGCAGGUGUACCUAUUUUGGGCACUUGCCGAUAUAACUAAGUCAAUUUGAAACCGAUUGAUUUGAAUUUUUGUUCAGAGUUAUAUACUGUGCGUGCCCAAUUCUGUACAAAAAUUCAAAUCAAUCGGUUGUAAAUUGACUUAGUUAUAGCGACAAGUGCCCAAAAUAGGUACACCUGCCCAAAUGGUACAAGACCCUAUAUCAAAGUCAAUGCAUAGAAAUAUUACUGAACUUUAAUUACCAACUUGAGUUUUGGAGCGAUGUUGAAGUUUUGGCUCAUUAGGCGUUUUAUUUUAAAAAGAAUAUUAUCGCUAUAAUUUUCUUCCGUUUUAACAAUUUAAAGUUAAGUAAAAAGUUUUUGGAAUUAAAAUAUAUAAGUCAUAAACGCUCAAAAUUUCAUUACAUUCGGUUCAUUGAAUCCGGAGAUAUAAUAGCUAAAAGUUGGCUAUCGGAGAGUUAUAGCUUUUACCAGAAUUUUUCUAACUUCAAGUAGAAUAAUCCGAUCUUUCCCAUUGACCAUUGACCAACUUACAGUGAAAAUUUGAGAUUUUUCUGAUGCACUUUUCAAAAACUUACAGCUAGUUGCCCAUUUUUUGACAAGUAAAAAUUUUGCCUGUCCCGAUCAUUUUGUCUAUUCUCUUUUAUGUUUGACUUAAGUAAAAUAUUGCAAAACAACAAAAGAGUAAAAUGCUAAAUGUUUGAAUAAUGAAUUUUAUUUAAAUACAACUACCGUUAGUUUCCUUGUUUUUAUUUUUUUAUUUCUAUAUAGAAACAUAAAUAUCCUAAGCUUUAUUCUUGAGGAAAAAAAUUACAAGGUGACAGACAACGAAAUCUGGAGAUAUCAGCAAACAAAUGAAUCAAUUUUCAGAAGAUUAGGACCUGUUGUGGUUUAUGUUUUGUAAAAAAAAACAUCUUUGAAAUCCGAUUCUCGAGGUCACUGGCUGUGGAAUGGAACAAAAAUCCCAUCCAUCCUCAAUCGUGUUUUCCGCCUUCAUGCCGAUCAUCAACUUUCUUUGUAGAACUACAAGAGACAAACACAGAUAAUCAAUAACACAAAACCAAUUAAAAACAAUAAUUGCAUUAUUUUAAAUACAUCAUUAUGAAAAUAAUAAAAUUAUUUUUCUAAUAAUAAAAUAUACUCUUAUUGUCAAUGGUAUGGCAACUCAUGAAACAAUUUGUUUUUUUUGGCGAACACGUUUUUCUUUCGAAAUAAACAAUCCAGUGUAAAUAUUCAUAUAAAUAUAAAAACAGCAGUUUUUGACAGUUGGAUAAGAUCUUGGACCUCCAAUCUAGUGAGAUUGUGUUCGAUUCCCGCUUCAGUCGAAACAUUUUCUCAAUUUCUCGGGUAAUGUGUACUGUUGUGUAAAUAAGUUUUUCAAUUAAUAACUAUGAAAGUGCUUCAAACAGUUGCUAAAACAGUAAUAGAGUAGCAGUUGGAGUUCCACUGAGAACGUAAAACCAUAAAAAGAAGUUUUUGAUAAUUUGUUUGGUUGCAUAAUCCUCUCAGUAAGUCUAUGUUUAAAGCGAUUUUUUUGCAGAACUCUGGAUUCAACCACAGAUUUUAUUUCUCUUAGGUGGAUGCUUACAACCAGUAAGCUUAAACAAUUUUUCCAGAGACAAUCGUAAGAUAUGGAAAAACGAUUUGUUCAAUUCUUCGUAAUUUUUCGGAAAUAACCUUGAAGGAAAUCUUGGUUUAUUCUGAAAUAAUGUCUGGAUUCAGUUUGGUAGGAUUCUAAGCGGGAACUUUCUAAGGAACUUUGGGAUGAGUGUCCGAAAAAAUCUCGAGAAAGCUAUAUAGAAAUAUUUGUAGUAUCAAAAUAUUAGUAAUGAUUAUGAUAAUAAAAUCAGUCUAUAUAGAAUCUAUGAAAUAUCAUUCGACCAAAUGUUAUAGAUCCGAAAAUCUCUAUACAAUGUUUAGCAGAAAGACGAAGGAAUUCGUGAGAAAAUCAUUGAAAGACAUUUUUCUCAUAUAACCUAAAGGAGUUAUCCCCAUAGAAUUUUCUGGAGGUAUUUUUAACCCUUAUGUGGCCGACAGGGUACCCGGGUACCCAGCGCCCAUUUAAAAAGCACGGUGUAGAAAAAAGCAGAAAGUUUGUCGGACACAUAACGGUUAAGGAAUUUCUGGAGAUAUUCCCGAAAUGUCCCAGAGGAAAAUUCUGAAGGAACCUCUAAACAAACAUAUGAAUGAUUUUUUUUAAAUAAUCCCUGGAGGAAAUAUCGAAGAAAUGUGAGGAAAAAUUCCGCAAGGAUCUGUGGACGAAUUUUCGAUCAAUUCCAGAAAGAAUCUCUUAAGGAUUUUUUAAGGAAUUUAUGAAAGAAUGCCGAAAUUCUCAGGAGAAAACCCAAUGAAAAACUCUGAAAAAUCAUUUGAAGGAAUUUGUAGGAACAUCCAGAAAGAUCUAUGCCUUAAAUUUCAAAGCAAUUUCCAGAGCAAUUCCAGAAAAAUGGGGGGAAAUUUACGGAAUUUAAAUAAUUCCCUUGAAUUUCAUAAAAAAGUCUUAUAAGGAAUUCCUGUGAAAAUCUCAGACAUUUUCGGAGGAAUUUCUGGAUCAAUUCCCAAAACAGCGUAGGUAUUAAGCAUGACCAUGCUGAGGGUGACGGGUUAAAUUCCUGGACGGUUCAUAAAUUUUUCGUAAGAAAAAUCCUUGACUUUCCUGGGCAUAGGGAAUCUUCGUGCCUGCCACACGAUAUACUCAUGCAAAAUGGUAAGUGGGUGAGGAAGCUCUCAUAUAAUAACUUUGGAAAUGCGGAUAAUACAAGCAGAGAAGCAGGCUUUGUCGCAGUGAGGACAUAUCGCCAAGAAGAACAAGAAGAAAGUCUGAAAAGAAAAACCAGAAAUGGAAUAUUUGAAGGAAUUCCUAAAACAGUCACUGGAGGAAAAAAUGAAAGAUUUUCGUGCUUCCAGAAAUUCUUCCGGAAAUUUGUGCAAAAUUCUCUUGUAAAACUCUCUAGAGUAAAUUCCUAAUGAAUCUGGAAAUCCUAAAAGAACCUCAGAACAAAAAAAAUUUAAGGAUUUUUUGAAAGAAUUGUUAAAAUACUCUUUGGAGGAAAGAACGAAGUAAUUUGUGGGAAAAGAGAGACGGAAUCUAAGAAUAUACUUUAUGAAUCUCUUGAAAAAUUUACGUAAUAACUGCUGGAGAAAUUCGCAAAAGAAUAUUUCGAAAUCUGAACAAAUAAAUCUCUAAAAUAAGUAUUUCGGAAAACUUUGAAUACAUUUUCGAAAACAUUUCAGGGGAAAUAAACAUUUUUUGCCAAUUCUUGAAAAAAAAACCUGUGAAUCAAAUGAGUCUCUGGAGUAAUUUCCAAAACAUCAAUGGUGGAAUUUUUUUUAGCAAUCUAUUUAGAAAUUUUCAUAUGAAUGAAUAGGGUAUUGGUUCCCUUAUUAAGCAUGUGGCUCCCAUUUUCAUCCUACGAAAAACAAAGGAUUGAAGCGAUGUUUGUUUAGUUUUAUAUUUUUGUAUUUUUUGUUAGAGGUGAGCACGCAUGAAAACAAAAAGAACGGAAUCAAUCGGUGUCGUAAUCGCUUGUUCUCGAAUAAGAUGAAUAUGGGAGCGUGAGAUUACUGAUGGAACACAUACCCUAUUUGGAAGAAAUAAUGUCUAGACUAGAGUAAUUCCCUUAGAAAUCUCUGCAUAACGUAUGCAAAGAAUUCUGAGAGAAUAACUCCAGACAUUUUGGAGGAAUUUCUGGAGAGUUGAACACAGAAUAUUCUUAGGAAAUUCUUGAUGGAAUCUGUGGAAAAAUGUUCUAAGGUAUCUCUAAAAAUAUUCCCAAAGCAAUCUCAUGAUGUUUGAAUAAAACAGUUUUGUUGGAGUAGUUAUGAAGUAAAUCUCUGGAGGAAUUUUCAAACAAUAUGUAAGAAAUCCCGAAAAAACCUGAAUUUUCAAUGGUGUAUUUGAAAGAAUUUGUUGAAUACCCUCUGAAGGAAUAAAUGAAGAACUAAUCAAAAUUAAUUUCCGAAGAAAUAUAUGAGGCAGUGAAUCAAUGAAUCGCUGAAGUGAUUUUCUUGAAGGAAGCUGAGCAGCAAUUCUUAAAUAAAUCUUUGGAAAGUUUCUCGAAAAUUUGUGGCAGAAUUUCCUCACGAAUCUAAUGACAAAUUCUCAUGAAAAUCGCUGGAGCUAUUCUCUCAGAAACCUCUGGAUACAAUCCCGUAGCAAUUUCUGAAAGAUGGAACACAGAAUGAUUUCUUGGAGAAAUUUGUGAACCAAUUCUCAAAUAAAAAUAUGGAGGAAAUACAGAAGAAAAAAUAAGAAGACGUAAACGAAGAAUUCACUGGAGAAAGUUUUGAGGAAAUCUUUGGAUAAUGUUCCGAAAUAUCUGAAAAGGAAAUCCCAGAAGAAACACUGAAUAAAAUUUCGAUGGAAUAUUUCAAAGAAUUCUCGAAGGAUUUUUUGGGAAAUUUAAAAAAAAACAGUUUCGUGUUUAAAAGGAAUCGUUUAACAAAUAACCUGACUGAUUCCUGGCAGAAACUCUCUAAAGUUACUGCUACUUUAAUUGCAAAAAAAAAGAAGCAAUACCUGUAGAAGUAUCUUCACAAAUGUUAGGAGGCAGUCCUCAAAAAUCCCAAACGAAUACAUUUUCGAUGGAAUAUUGAAAGGAAUUCCCAUAAUAAUCUCUUGAGCAAUAAACUAUGAAACUUGUGAAAAAAUCCCCAAGAAACUUGGCAAUCUUGGAAUAUGAGGAGCAAAUAACGAGGUAAUUUGUCCAAAAUUUUCGAAUGAAUCUGUGAACGAACUUUUAAACAAAUUUUGGAUCCAGUCUAGUAGGAUUCUUUGGAGUAAUUUCCUAAGAUAUCUCUGUAGAAAAUUAUUGGAAAAAUCAAAGGAAUCACAGGAGGAGUGAGCAACGAAAUUUGUGGAGUGGAACUUGUGAAGCAAGUAACGAAUCAUUCGGUGGGAAAACUCUUGUAGAAUAAAGUUUCCAAAUAAUCUUAUGUAAUUUGCUGAAUUUGAAUGGAGCAACAUUCGAUACACUCUCUGCAGCAAAUUUUAAAAAUAUCUCUCGUGCAAUUUUUAAGUCGAAAAUUUCAAAAAAUAUCUCAGCCGUAAACCCUGGAAGAACAUUUGAAUGGAAUUUUGAACGAAUAUUAGAAAGAAUUCCAAAAACCCUACUCUCUGGAGGAAAAAAUGGAGUAAUUUGUGGGGAAAUUCAAGAUGGAAUCUAAUUUUUAAAAUAAUUUCCCGAAUCCCAUCUGGGAAGCUGAACGAAUGAUUCUUUGAAGAAAUUUUCUAAGAAAUCUGUAAAUAUAUUUUCGAAGACAUUUUUGAAAUUAAAAAAGAAAUUUUUUUAAUGUCUAGCGGAAUUCCUAAGGAAUCUUCGAAAUAAUUUCUGAAAGAGUCUCUGGAAGAAUCUCUCGAUUCGUGAGCGAAGAUAUUUGUGGGGAAAAUCUUGAAGAAAUUGUGGAUAAAUUUCCAAAUGAAUCUCUAAAACAAUUUUCUGGUAUCUAUGCAGUAUUUUUUUUUUUCAAUCUAGAUACAUACCCGAAGGAGUAUUAGGGGGAUUGAACAAAACAAUUUCGUUGAUAUAAUUUGUAACGAAUUUUGGAAUAUUUUCAAAAUGCUCUCUGGAAAUAUUCCUAAAAAAUUCUGGAGAAAAUCACGAAAAACUCUGACUAAAUUUUCGAUGAAGUAUUGCAAGCAAUUCCUUAAACAAUCUCUGGAGAAAUAAACAAAGGAAUUUUGGUAAAUAUUCGCGAAGGAAUUUGUGGAUGAAGUAUUGAUAUAAUCACUGGAAAAAAAUCAUAGGAAUUACUUGAAGAGUUCCUGAAAGAUUGUCUUUAGAAUGAAUGUCUCUGGAGCAAUUAUCUUAGAAAUCUGUGGAUACAUAUCUGAAGCAAUUUCUGGAGAAACAAAAGAAAUGCUUAAAGGAAUUCUUGAAGUAGUUCUCGAAAUAUUUUCUGGUGGAAUUUCCAUUUGAAAAUCGUAUAAGGCAUCGUUGUGUGAAGAAUUAGUCUAAGUUAAAAUUCACAAAUAAAAAGAAAUAAAAAAAGUAUAAGGCAUUGACGUAUACAUCUUUGAAGAAACGUCUAAAAAAAUUCUGAAAUUCUUUGGAGAUUUCUUCCAAAGCUCUCAGAAUUUUUUUCGUUGGAAUAUUGGAAUGAGUUCCCAAAAAAAAAAAAAAUCUCUGGAGAAAUAAUGAUGGAAUUUGUGGGAACAAUCCCGAAGACAUUUGUCGCUCAAUUUUUGUAUGACUUUGUGGAGAAAUUUCUUGAAAAAUAUCUGGAGGAAAGAUCGAGAUAAUCUGUGAAUGAAAUUUAAAAUAAUUUUUGGAUUCUGAAAAAAAAAAUCUCACAGGAAUCUCUAAAGUCAUGAACAAAGGGAUUUGUGGGGAAAAACUAGGAGGAAGAUGUGAAGCAAUUUUCAAAGCAAUUUCUACAGGAAUUCUCAGCAGAGGAAAAAUGAAGAAAUUGGUGGAAAAACUCUUGCAUGACGGUGUUUUGAAAUAAUCUAGGAAGUAAUUCGUUCAGCAUUUUCUGGAGUUUUUCCUAUAGAAUCUCUUGAUCUAAUUCUGAAAAUAUCUCUAUUUCCCAAAAUAUCUCAGGAGGAAAUCUUGAAAGAAAAUCUAACUAAAAUUUUUAAACUCCCUGGAGCGGAUCUGGUGUGAUGGUUAAAGCCCGUGACUAUCACACCGA